rnacentral:rRNA from 1 species
AACCCUUAAGCUUAGUUGCCAUCAGUUAAGUUGGGCACUCUAAGUUGACUGCCGGUGACAAACCGGAGGAAGGUGGGGAUGACGUCAAAUCAUCAUGCCCCUUAUGAUUUGGGCUACACACGUGCUACAAUGGACAAUACAAAGGGUAGCGAAACCGCGAGGUCAAGCAAAUCCCAUAAAGUUGUUCUCAGUUCGGAUUGUAGUCUGCAACUCGACUAUAUGAAGCUGGAAUCGCUAGUAAUCGUAGAUCAGCAUGCUACGGUGAAUACGUUCCCGGGUCUUGUACACACCGCCCGUCACACCACGAGAGUUUGUAACACCCGAAGCCGGUGGAGUAACCAUUUGGAGCUAGCCGUCGAAGGUGGGACAAAUGAUUGGGGUGAAGUCGUAACAAGGUAGCCGUAUCGGAAGGUGCGGCUGGAUCACCUCCUUUCUAAGGA